rnacentral:rRNA from 1 species
AACGAACGCUGGCGGCAGGCCUAACACAUGCAAGUCGAGCGAGGACUUCGGUCCUAGCGGCGGACGGGUGAGUAACGCGUGGGAACGUGCCCCUUGCUUCGGAAUAGCCCUGGGAAACUGGGAGUAAUACCGGAUGAGCCCUUUGGGGGAAAGAUUUAUCGGCGAAGGAUCGGCCCGCGUUGGAUUAGGUAGUUGGUGGGGUAAUGGCCUACCAAGCCGACGAUCCAUAGCUGGUUUGAGAGGAUGAUCAGCCACACUGGGACUGAGACACGGCCCAGACUCCUACGGGAGGCAGCAGUGGGGAAUCUUAGACAAUGGGGGAAACCCUGAUCUAGCCAUGCCGCGUGAGCGAUGAAGGCCUUAGGGUUGUAAAGCUCUUUCAGCUGGGAAGAUAAUGACGGUACCAGCAGAAGAAGCCCCGGCUAACUCCGUG